UAUAUUUUUUAUCUUCAUAGGUAAAGAAGAACCCAGUCCAGGAUAAAAGUCUGAUGCCAGGAGAUGAUUUUAUUCCUGAGCCACAAAUGGCAAUUCGUAUUUCUUCAAGAGAUACAAUGAAUAUAACAAUAUCCAAAAGUUGUCUUAAUGUUUUCAACAAUUUAGCAAAAGGUUUUUCAGAGGGCACUGCUUCUACUUUUGACUACUCUUU